rnacentral:rRNA from 1 species
UACACUGAUGCAUUCAACGAGCCUAGCCUUGGCCGAGAGGCCCGGGUAAUCUUUGAAACUGCAUCGUGAUGGGGAUAGAUUAUUGCAAUUAUUAAUCUUCAACGAGGAAUGCCUAGUAAGCGCAAGUCAUCAGCUUGCGUUGAUUACGUCCCUGCCCUUUGUACACACCGCCCGUCGCUCCUACCGAUUGGGUGUGCUGGUGAAGUGUUCGGAUUGGCAACCCGGGGCGGUUUCCGCCCUGGGUUGCUGAGAAGUUCAUUAAACCCUCCCACCUAGAGGAAGGAGAAGUCGUAACAAGGUUUCCGUAGGUGAACCUGCGGAAGGAUCAUUGAAUCAAUCGAACCCACACCGGUAACCAAACACCCCCCGGUCCUCCCCGAUCGGGGCGCCAGUCCCCUGGCUCCGGCCAGGUCUGGCGGGGACGGACCUGUCCGUGCCUCCCUUCAAGGGGCGGCCGGGUCGGGCUCCGGCCUGGUAAUUAAUUUAUCCAACCUCAACACACCCCAAACACACAAACCAACCUGAAGCAAUCACGGGAAGGGGCUGGUCCCCGACCUCAAACCAAAGACAACUCUCAACAACGGAUAUCUUGGCUCCCGUAUCGAUGAAGAACGCAGCGAAAUGCGAUACGUAGUGUGAAUUGCAGAAUUCCGUGAACCAUCGAAUCUUUGAACGCAAAUUGCGCCCGAGGCUCCGGCCAAGGGCAUGUCUGCCUCAGCGUCGGCUCACACCCCCUCGCCCCCUCCCGGGGGCGGACCUGGCACCCUCGGGUCCUGCCCUUUAUUCUGAAUAAAGGGCACCCGGGUCUGCUGAAGUGCAGAGGCUUGAACAUGGACCCCGUCCGAGGGCGAUGGCUUGGUAGGUAGGCUCUGCCUAUUCCCCUGCCAUGUACCCGAGGGGACUUUGUUGGGAGCCCAACCGGCAUCGGGCACUGCCCGACCACUCUUUGAAUUCGACCUGAGCUCAGGCAAGAUUACCCGCUGAACUUAAGCAUAUCAAUAAGCGGAGGAAAAGAAACUAACCAGGAUUCCCCUAGUAACGGCGAGUGAACCGGGAAGAGCCCAGCUUGAAAAUCUCCAGCCCCCGGCUGGCGAAUUGUAGUCUAGAGAAGCGUCCUCUGCGGUGCCCCGGACCCAAGUCCCCUGGAAAGGGGCGUCAGAGAGGGUGAGAACCCCGUUGGGCCUGGGUGACGUCGCUCCACGAGGUGCUUUCGCAGAGUCGGGUUGUUUGGGAAUGCAGCCCAAAGCAGGUGGUAA